GACGAACGCUGGCGGCGUGCUUAACACAUGCAAGUCGAACGAAGAGCGAUGGAAGCUUGCUUCUAUCAAUCUUAGUGGCGAACGGGUGAGUAACGCGUAAUCAACCUGCCCUUCAGAGGGGGACAACAGUUGGAAACGACUGCUAAUACCGCAUACGAUCCAAUCUCGGCAUCGAGACUGGAUGAAAGGUGGCCUCUAUUUAUAAGCUAUCACUGAAGGAGGGGAUUGCGUCUGAUUAGCUAGUUGGAGGGGUAACGGCCCACCAAGGCGAUGAUCAGUAGCCGGUCUGAGAGGAUGAACGGCCACAUUGGGACUGAGACACGGCCCAGACUCCUACGGGAGGCAGCAGUGGGGAAUCUUCCGCAAUGGACGAAAGUCUGACGGAGCAACGCCGCGUGAGUGAUGACGGCCUUCGGGUUGUAAAGCUCUGUUAAUCGGGACGAAUGGUUCUUGUGCAAAUAGUGCAAGGAUUGACGGUACC
rnacentral:rRNA from 1 species